UACAGUAACAUGCCAAAUAUAGUG
rnacentral:siRNA from 1 species